GGAGCACUCCUCAGGAGGCUGGAGUGGCUGAAAACCAGACGGGGUCCGUGGCUGACGGGGAGUUGUCACACCUGUAUAGAAGCCGCCUUGCACAGCACCACCCCUCCUUGGUCCCCAGCUUUGCAGCCCCCACCUGACAGCAGACGGGACGCCAAGUCCCUCUGACGCUGCAGGUUUCUUCAGACUUGAGAAACUUAAUGCCAGCCGGGUACACCGUUAAUGAGGGAAGCACAUUUAUCUGACAGCUGAUGGUCCUGGGAGCAAGGAGGAUUGUGUAGGAGGCUGGUGCGAAUCCCAGGACAGAAGCGAGGCUGAUGGCAGACGGCAUCAAUAACAGACACAUCGAGAGCAAACAGCUCCAGCAGGGAAGAGCAGCAAGAGCAAACCUCAUCAGCAACAAACGGCUCUUGUACAUUGCAAAACUGCGGUUGUAGCAAAGUUCUCUUCUGCUUCGAGGGCCGGUUGUUUUUGAAAGAAACGUCACAACAGUGCAACAAAAGCACCAGUGGCUACAGGGCGACGCAGGCAGGUGCUGCCCCCCUCCUCUGCCCUCCCCUCUGCUCCGCGCCAUGCAAAUGGAGAUUUUCGUCCAAAUCACCACACUGCAGAAAAGAGGAAAACGUCUGUACUGAGCUGAGGCGUGCUCUGAGAUGGGGCUGACGUAGAUAGCAUUGGGACUACAGUGCUGCUGUGAUCUCCACAUAUCCUUCAUCCUGGAAGCCUGAAGAGCAGCCAUCACUACAGGUCUUCAGCAAGUUGUCUCCUGGAUCUUCCCACACAGGAGGGAUGGAGUCACGCUGGGCCUG
rnacentral:lncRNA from 1 species